GGAAAACAGGUUAAUAUUCCUGUACUUCUGGUUAUUGCGAUGGAGGGACGGAGAAGGCUAGGCCAGCUUGGCGUUGGUUGUCCAAGUUUAAGGUGGUAGCUGGAAUCUUAGGUAAAUCCGGGAUUCUAAGGCCGAGAGCUGAUGACGAGUUAUCUUUUAGAUGACGAAGUGGUUGAUGCCAUGCUUCCAAGAAAAGCUUCUAAGCUUCAGGUAACCAGGAACCGUACCCCAAACCGACACAGGUGGUUGG
rnacentral:rRNA from 1 species